rnacentral:rRNA from 1 species
UUAGUAGCGGCGAGCGAAGCGGCNACAGCUCAAAUUUGAAAUCUGGCUCCUCUCGGGGUCCGAGUUGUAAUUUGUAGAGGAUGCUUCGGGCGCGGCACCGGUCUAAGUCCCUUGGAACAGGGCGUCAUAGAGGGUGAGGAUCCCGUAUGUGACCGGCGACCAAGUCCAUGUGAAGCUCCUUCGACGAGUCGAGUUGUUUGGGAAUGCAGCUCAAAAUGGGUGGUAAAUUUCAUCUAAAGCUAAAUACCGGCCAGAGACCGAUAGCGCACAAGUAGAGUGAUCGAAAGAUGAAAAGCACUUUGGAAAGAGAGUCAAAAAGUACGUGAAAUUGUUGAAAGGGAAGCGCUUGUAACCAGACCUGCCGUCGGGUGUUCCGCGGGCACUCGUGCCCGCCCACUCACCCGCGAUCAGGCCAGCAUCGGUUUUGGCGGCCGGAUAAAGACUCGAGGAAUGUAGCUUCGCUUCGGGGAAGUGUUAUAGCCUCCUGUGCAAUACGGCCAGCCGGGACCGAGGACCGCGCUUCGGCUAGGAUGCUGGCGUAAUGGUUGCAAGCGACCCGUCUUGAAACACGGACCAAGGAGUUUAACAUCUAUGCGAGUGUUUGGGUGUCAAACCCAUGCGCGGAAUGAAAGUGAACGGAGGUGGGAACCCUCAAGGGCGCACCAUCGACCGAUCCGGAAGUUUACGGAUGGAUUUGAGUAUGAGCAUAGCUGUUGGGACCCGAAAGAUGGUGAACUAUGCCUGAAUAGGGUGAAGCCAGAGGAAACUCUGGUGGAGGCUCGCAGCGGUUCUGACGUGCAAAUCGAUCGUCAAAUUUGGGUAUAGGGGCGAAAGACUAAUCGAA